AGAUUCUCCCUUGUUAAUCCAUACACUAAAACGGGAACAAUACAGAGAAGAUUAGCAUGGCCCUUGCCCAAGGGUGACACUCAGAUUUGUGGAGCGUUUCAUAUUUUU
rnacentral:snRNA from 1 species